UUUACAACAAAUCUAUGAUGGAUUUCCGCAUUAUUCUUUCAUAUUUGAUUGCGUUGCUUCUUGUUUUUCUCAUCUUCACAUCAGUAACCGAGAGCGCAUGCGUUCAGACAACACAAGCACCAACAACGCAAGCUCCAACAACAACAACAUUUAAACCAAUACCAUAAAGGAACCCCUGAAGACAAUGGGAACUGGUAUAAUUUUGGAAUCCAAAUGUUUGUCAAAGCUGUCUGGCAGGAAAAAAUAUUAUUAUUUAUGAAAACUAAACAAUAAACAUUUUUAUA